rnacentral:rRNA from 1 species
UAGUCCACGCCGUAAACGAUGGAUACUAGCUGUUCGGACUUCGGUCUGAGUGGCUAAGCGAAAGUGAUAAGUAUCCCACCUGGGGAGUACGUUCGCAAGAAUGAAACUCAAAGGAAUUGACGGGGGCCCGCACAAGCGGUGGAGCAUGUGGUUUAAUUCGAUGAUACGCGAGGAACCUUACCAGGGCUUAAAUGUAGUGGGACAGGCUGGGAAACCAGCCCUUCUUCGGACUCAUUACAAGGUGCUGCAUGGUUGUCGUCAGCUCGUGCCGUGAGGUGUCAGGUUAAGUCCUAUAACGAGCGCAACCCCUGUUGUUAGUUGCCAGCGAGUAAUGUCGGGAACUCUAACAAGACUGCCGGUGCAAACCGCGAGGAAGGUGGGGAUGACGUCAAAUCAUCGUGGCCCUUAUGGGUAGGGCUACACACGUGCUACAAUGGUCGGUACAGAGGGCAGCGAAACCGCGAGGUGGAGCAAAUCCCAGAAAGUGCGUCCCAGUUCGGAUUGAAGUCUGCAACCCGACUU